GGCCACAUCUGCCAGAGCCUGGAGUCUGCGAAGGCCGGGACCCGGUUCCCCGGCCCGCCGUGGGGAGUGUGCAAACCCGAGAGAACUGGGAAGUGCCGUCAGAAGCGAUAACUGACGACGUCUAACGUCUAUCUGACCGCAGUCGCUGAAACCUCUACAACUUAGUUGACCGUAACUGCCAGAGCCCUGCCCUGAAUUCCUGUCCUUACUCCCUCUUUCAGAUUGCGUACCCACUGCAGAGGGCUGAAGACGGGGUAGCCACGAGGUUGCAAAUUCGUGAAGAAUCAGCAGCAUGUUUGGCAGCUGAGUAUUGGAGCCAGGAGCCUGCCAUGAGGUUUUGAGAACAGGGUGCUGUUUUAGAGCUGGCAGCAGCAUCUCAGCCCAAGAGAAGCUGAUGCAGCCUCAGUGUUCCUUUGCCUUGGGGGUUUCUGAGUGGUGGGGUUGUAAGGAGAGCCUGCCAGGCAUCCAGAAGGAAACCUCAUCAGGACUCCCUCAGAAAGGCCCUGAAGAAUCCUGUGACCUUCCUCUAAAGUAGGUCAUGAGACCCCCUGAGCUUAAAACGGAGUGAUCGGCUUUGGAGAAAAAUCCCUGGAAGGCACCCAGGCUGGACAUCAUCAUAUACUCUCUACAGAUGGAGACACCAAGGCCCACGCCUUCUGUGCUGUUGGAAUUUCAGGAAGGAUGGGGGCGGGGCACGGCCUCAGCCCUGGGCCU
rnacentral:antisense_RNA from 1 species